CUACCAAAAGUUGGUUUGGGGGAAGGCUUAUAGCAGCCUUUGCCAGCUCAAGUUGUGCGGGAAUAAAGAACACACUCCACAGUGAACUACACCGUUAUAAAUAGUUCAUUACUAUUUUGUGGCCUAGAAG